AUAAUUUAAAAAGACGAGAAGACCCUAUAGAGUUUUAUAGUUAAAAUAAUUAAUAUUAUUUGUUAAAUUAAGGUUGAGAUUAUUUUAUUUAUUGUAUUGGGGUGAUAAAAAAAUAUAUAUAACUUUUUUUAAAUAAAAACAUUUAUAAGUGAUUAAUUGAUCCAAUAUUAUUGAUUAUAAGAAAAAAUUACCUUAGGGAUAACAGCGUAAUUUUUUUUUUUAGUUCAUAUAAUAAAAAGAGUUUGCGACCUCGAUGUUGGAUUAAGAUAAAAUUUAAAUGCAGAAG
rnacentral:rRNA from 1 species